CAGGAAAAUGACAACAGCACCUUAAGUUAACGCAGCUAGCGCCCGACAACGUGUUAAUGAGGUCUACUCACAUCUCGUAAAGAAUCAAACGUGCUGUACUGUCUUCUAAUCUUAUAAAACAGUUGUUUUCUUAUUAAAACUGAUAAAUAAGUUGAACUUACAAAAUAUAUGCUACAAAACUUCCAAAGCUAAUGUCAGAAAUUUCUAGGCAGCAAUCUACUACCUCUGUCCGGAAUUAACUGUCACUGAAAUGAGUGUUCACCCAUUUUAGCUACAAUUAAUUCCGGACGGAGGGAAUAUAUUUCUAAUGGGGGUAUAUUUUGGAGUUAAACUCGAGAAUUGCUCCUCGUUUGCACUUUGUAUUGAUUGUUGAAAUUUAAAGUAUUACUGUGUUGGUGAAUUGACAUGCACAUCUGAUCCAGUGCUAGCUCAUAUAAUGUAUGUUGUUUCACAUUAGGCAAGUACAUAACCAUCUUUAUAAUAGAUGUGUGGCCGGUGCUGCACUGGGUGGAUGGACAAGAGAUACUCCAUUAUUGCACGAGAACCAACUGUUUCACAUGAAUAUUUUGUACGGUCUCCAUUUAUAUUUAGGUUGGUCUGACUUAAAAAGGCAAACAGAUGCCAUUUUAGUACUAAAGGGGGAACUCAGAGAUAUGUUCUCUCUCGUGGUCAUUUGGGUCAUGUUACAUUUUGUUGCAUAAUACAAAUGCUAAUAUUUAAUUAUGUGCAUAGACAAAAAUGCACUUUAUGCGCAUAGAUUUAAAAAAUAUGUAGAUUUCCAUAGAUAUUUUCCUGCUUAGGACAAAACUUAAAUCCUUGAGUCAUUUUGGGAUCAGCUCGUAUGAGAAUGUCAUAUGAGAAUGCCACCUGCUUUCAUCAUAUGGAGGGCACUGUAUUUUAGCUACUUGGCUUUAGCUGGCAAUCUCAAUAUAGUAUAAGCUAGCUACAGUUGAGUUAACCUAGAUUAAUGAUCCUGUGAUCUCCUUUUGCAGAUAAACAAUGGAACACCCGAGACUGAAGAUUUUUUUUGGAAAGCUCACCAAGAGUGAAUGAUCAUUUUUGCAUCUUUUAGAUUGAUUGGUGCAUGGAAAGAAAGGUUCCCGAAGAUGCAUUUGGUUGACUGGCAGCAGAGAGGAGAAGAUUACUGGUGAGAUGUGCAUUGCCCCUAGGAGGGGAGCAGGUUUGCACAAAUUAACAAACUAAAAAGACUAUAGUGAUAGAGGACAAGAGACGAUUCCUUGGUAUUAAGACAUCCAUCUAUCCCAUCCCGCCUUCUUCACGGACCUCACCCCUUAUUUUUCUGCUCAAAAUAAUCAUGUUCGCACUCAUAUGAUCCUGCAGCAUGCAUUCAGUUAUCCUCGAGUUCAAACCCUGUUGCCCUGAUCAUUUGCUACUGCAAAGUCCCUAUCUUUAUAUGCUUCAAUCACAUGAAUGAUGAGUUCAAAAAAGAAAGGUAGCCUGCUAUGAUCAUUGCAUGCAGAAAUCUAAUCUUGUGUGCUGCUACAUACUUUUGCAGCAUGUGGCGAUUAUGCACCAAAUAGAAACACAUAUACAAGUGCCACUGCGGUCCCAUUUCAGUCCGAUGUUUUGAACCAUGCUGCACAACGGCCCUAGCCCUCCUAGUGAGGCUAAACAUGCCUUCCUCCCGGAAACUUGUCAUAAACUGUUCAAUAGUUUAUGUGUUGCGCCUUUUUAUGAUGCCAUUGUGAUGGUAAAGGUGUUUCAAGCCCCCCGGAUUUUGAUAAUAAAGCGCUCUUCGCACGCCGGCUAGAGAUUAGUGGAGAACCCCAUGACCAAUUAUGUGUUAACUGUUAAGCGAUAGUUAACCCUAAACCUACUCUUAUGAAGAUUUAACAGUGUUGAAGCCACUAUGUGUUUGUUUAAUCGUAAAGGUAAUUAUGCAGUGCGUUGGGGUCACAUGCUCUUUUGGCAUGCCCAAUUGCUUCAUUUGUUUUAGGGCACAUUGUUAGGAUAGGGAGGAAGUGCCAUCUCACUACGAUUAAUUAAGGGCAAGGAAGGAUGCUCUCUGGCACAUGCCUUCCCUUAUGGGGACCAGAAACACAUGGGAGCUACAUAACUAGAGCCCCCCCUCAAGAGGAACAAGGCUGUGGCCCCCUUCGGAGAUCUCUAAGAUUAGAGCUUUCUUGCCCAUAACAUCACCAUAUUCCCCUUCCCUGGUCCAAUUUCCAUAGUAAAUUACAGGUGCACGACACUAAAGCGAUGGUUGAAAGUUGUAGCAUGUUAACUGUCAAUUAUGUUUUCUGCCGUCGGGCAGCUGUAUUUUCUACUCGACACUAAAGCGAUGGUUGAAAGUUGUAGCAUGUUAACUGUCAAUUAUAAUAAUGAACUGAAAAUAAAUGCUCAUGUUAAAGCACUACUGGUAAUGUUAGCAAGAGGUGAAUCGUCUCUGAGAUUGAUUUCCCCAUUUGUGAUUUUCAGCAUUGCUUGGAAGGAAAAGCGAGUGUUUCCCAAAUGACGCUAAGGUCUUAAAAGGAAGAUGACAAACAGACAUCUGCGGGGGAAAAUGUGCAGCUGAGGGGUUGGAUGUUGUGCAGGCAUGAGUUUUUUCCUUUUGCCCAAUCGAGCUUGGCUUUGGGAAGAAGAGAAAGGCGUUUGAUGGAGG
rnacentral:lncRNA from 1 species